GGACUACUCGGGUUUCUAAUCCCGUUCGCUCCCCUGGCUUUCGCGUCUCAGCGUCAGUAAACGUCCAGGACCUCGCUUUCGCCACGGGCGUUCCUUCCGAUCUCAACGCAUUUCACCGCUCCACCGGAAGUUCCAGGUCCCCCUACGUCCCUCCAGGAAGGUCGUAUCCGCGCCCGUUCCCCGGUUGAGCCGGGGGAUUUCAGCAACGGACGUGCCCUCCCGCCUACACGCGCUUUAAGCCCAGUGAUUCCGAAUAACGUUCGCACGGUUCGUCUUACCGCGGCGGCUGGCAC
rnacentral:rRNA from 1 species